CAGUAAGUAGUUUAUUAAAAUAUUAAUUUUGGAGAUUAAAGAUGAUUUUUUCUUUACUGA
rnacentral:tRNA from 1 species